UAUUAAUUUGGAACCAUGAGCAGGUUAAA
rnacentral:piRNA from 1 species